UACGGGGGGGGCAAGCGUUGUUCGGAAUUACUGGGCGUAAAGGGCGCGUAGGCGGCCUUCUAAGUCAGACGUGAAAUCCCCCGGCUUAACCUGGGAACUGCGUCUGAUACUGGAGGGCUUGAGUGCGGGAGAGGGAUGUGGAAUUCCAGGUGUAGCGGUGAAAUGCGUAGAUAUCUGGAGGAACACCGGUGGCGAAGGCGGCAUCCUGGACCGACACUGACGCUGAGGCGCGAAAGCUAGGGUAGCAAACGGG
rnacentral:rRNA from 1 species